GACGAACGCUGGCGGCGUGCUUAACACAUGCAAGUCGAACGGAAAGGCCAUGCUUUUGCGGGGUGCUCGAGUGGCGAACGGGUGAGUAACACGUGAGUAACCUGCCCUUGACUUUGGGAUAACUUCAGGAAACUGGGGCGAAUAUCGGAUAGGAGCUCCUGCUGCAUGGUGGGGGUUGGAAAGUUUCGGCGGUUGGGGAUGGACUCGCGGCUUAUCAGCUUGUUGGUGGGGUAGUGGCUUACCAGGGCUUUGACGGGUAGCCGGCCUGAGAGGGUGACCGGCCACAUUGGGACUGAGAUACGGCCCAGACGCCUACGGGAGGCAGCAGUGGGGAAUAUUGCACAAUGGGGGGAAGCCUGAUGCAGCAACGCCGCGUGCGGGAUGACGGCCUUCGGGUUGUAAACCGCUUUCGCCUGUGACGAAGCGUGAGUGACGGUAAUGGGUAAAGAAGCACCGGCUAACUACGUG
rnacentral:rRNA from 1 species